rnacentral:tRNA from 1 species
GGGAGCUUAGCUCAGCUGGUAAUAGCGCCUGCUUCACACGCAGGAGGUCGCAGGUUCGCGUCCUGUAGCGCCCACCA